UACGUAGGGGGCAAGCGUUGUCCGGAUUUAUUGGGCGUAAAGAGCGUGUAGGCGGCCAUGUAGGUCCGUUGUGAAAACUCGAGGCUCAACCUCGAGACGCCGAUGGAAACCAUGUGGCUAGAGUCCGGAAGAGGAGAGUGGAAUUCCUGGUGUAGCGGUGAAAUGCGCAGAUAUCAGGAAGAACACCCGUGGCUAAGGCGGCUCUCUAGUACGGUACUGACGCUGAGAAGCGAAAGCAUGGGGAGCGAACAGG
rnacentral:rRNA from 1 species